rnacentral:rRNA from 1 species
AACGAACGCUGGCGGCAUGCCUAACACAUGCAAGUCGAUCGAGACCUUCGGGUCUAGUGGCGCACGGGUGCGUAACGCGUGGGAACCUGCCCUUAGGUUCGGAAUAACUCCCCGAAAGGGGUGCUAAUACCGGAUAAUGUCUUCGGACCAAAGAUUUAUCGCCUUUGGAUGGGCCCGCGUUGAAUUAGCUAGUUGGUAGGGUAAAAGCCUACCAAGGCGACGAUCCAUAGCUGGUCUGAGAGGAAGAUCAGCCACACUGGGACUGAGACACGGCACAGACUCCUACGGGAGGCAGCAGUGGCGAAUAUUGGACAAUGGGCGAAAGCCUGAGCCAGCAAUGCCGCGUGAAUGAUGAAGGCCUUAGGGUUGUAAAGCUCUUUUACCCGGGAUGAUAAUGACAGUACCGGGAGAAUAAGCGCCGGCUAACUACGUG